rnacentral:lncRNA from 1 species
AUCAGCAGAAACAAGAAAGCAUCCCUCAAAAACACAAAGUCUAUGAAAUGCUGAAUUCUUGAGGAAGAAAAAAACUUCUCAGAAAGAAGAAAAGUUUUUGAAAUGCUCCACUGUCUACACCUAAGGAGACAGAAAAAAAUAUUAUUGGGGUCUACAUCAAGUAAACUGGAAUUACAGUGACAGAGAAAGAACCCAAGCAGAGGAUUGUUCUUUUGACGGGUAAUAAUAUAACUAUUAUAUACUAUAGUUAUAUACUAAUAUAACUAUAAAACAAAGUGAUUAACUUGAUUCAAAAGAGCCAUCUUUGCUUAUUCUG